ensembl:ncRNA K02E11.14 ncRNA
UUCAAUUUUUCGAAAAGUUGUUCGAGAUAUGCUGCUCCAGCUCCUGGGAGCAGGCGCAGGUUGAUAGGCUCUUGGACUCUCCCCGCGAGCCGACGUCCUAUAACAUAUGUCUUUUGCUUUUUCCGA